GAUUAACGCUGGCGGCGUGCAUAACACAUGCAAGUCGAACGAUGAAACUUUAAUGAACCCUUCGGGGAGAAUUAAAGCGGAUUAGUGGCGAACGGGUGAGUAACGCGUGAGUAACCUGCCUUACACAAGGGGAUAGCCUUUGGAAACGAAGAAUAAUACCCUAUAAAACCAUAAAAGCACAUGCAAUUAUGGUCAAAGUGAUAGCGGUGUAAGAUGGACUUGCGUCUGAUUAGCUAGUUGGUGAGAUAAAAGCCCACCAAGGCAACGAUCAGUAGCCGGCGUGAGAGAGUGUACGGCCACAUUGGGACUGAGACACGGCCCAGACUCCUACGGGAGGCAGCAGUGGGGAAUUUUGCACAAUGGGGGAAACCCUGAUGCAGCGACGCCGCGUGAUUUAGAAGGCCUUCGGGUUGUAAAAAUCUUUUGGAUAGGAAGAAAAUGACAGUACUAUACGAAUAAAGUCCGGCUAAUUACGU
rnacentral:rRNA from 1 species